rnacentral:tRNA from 1 species
CGUGCGCUGCGCGAGGCGGCGGGUGUCGCUGUCGGCGAUACGGUCGCGUUGUCGAUCGUGCCGGCCGCGAAGGA